UCAGAUGUUUUCGGAUUAAGCCGCG
rnacentral:piRNA from 4 species